rnacentral:tRNA from 1 species
AUUUAGAUAGUUUAAUAAAAACUUUGAUUUGUGGUGUCAAGAAUGAAUAUUUAUUCUCUAGAUU